rnacentral:rRNA from 1 species
AUUAACAGGAUUAGAUACCCUGGUAGUCCACGCCCUAAACGAUGUCUACUAGUUGUCGGGUUUUAAUUAACUUGGUAACGCAGCUAACGCGUGAAGUAGACCGCCUGGGGAGUACGGUCGCAAGAUUAAAACUCAAAGGAAUUGACGGGGACCCGCACAAGCGGUGGAUGAUGUGGAUUAAUUCGAUGCAACGCGAAAAACCUUACCUACCCUUGACAUGUCAGGAAUCCUGGAGAGAUCUGGGAGUGCCCGAAAGGGAACCUGAACACAGGUGCUGCAUGGCUGUCGUCAGCUCGUGUCGUGAGAUGUUGGGUUAAGUCCCGCAACGAGCGCAACCCUUGUCAUUAGUUGCUACGAAAGGGCACUCUAAUGAGACUGCCGGUGACAAACCGGAGGAAGGUGGGGAUGACGUCAAGUCCUCAUGGCCCUUAUGGGUAGGGCUUCACACGUCAUACAAUGGUGCAUACAGAGGGCCGCCAACCCGCGAGGGGGAGCUAAUCCCAGAAAGUGCAUCGUAGUCCGGAUCGCAGUCUGCAACUCGACUGCGUGAAGUUGGAAUCGCUAGUAAUCGCGGAUCAGCAUGUCGCGGUGAAUACGUUCCCGGGUCUUGUACACACCGCCCGUCACACCAUGGGAGCGGGUUUUACCAGAAGUAGGUAGCUUAACCGCAAGGGGGGCGCUUACCACGGUAGGAUUCGUGACUGGGGUGAAGUCGUAACAAGGUAGCCAAU